GUGAGAGCAGAGGAAGAUAGACAUUGAGUUGAGACUCAAACAAAAUAGAUGUAGACACUCAGGUGCUUAAGGAAUCACUUAGAGAUUAGUGUAGGUGCUUUGUAAAGUGUUUAGCUUAGUUAGACUACUAUGAUUAGCGCUUGCUCUAGGUUUAGGCCUAACAAUUAGAAAUGAGGCUAAACACACAUCUUAUCCCUUGGCGCUUGCACGCACUAUUAUAUUGGUUGUACCGAGAGGGACUAUAAGUCUUAUCAGAUCACACUAACUAAGUUUGUGGUAUGGACACCACUAUGUACGUGAGGGGAUGAGGCUCGUGUCGUUUAGACCAAAAUUUAAUGGUGGAGACGACGAGGGUAUUCAAGAGAGGUCACAAACAAAGCACAACUUGUGCGUGGAGAAAGACUAGGACUAUACACAGAGUUACUUGGCCAGGAGCUUGGCUCUUGCAUGGGUUUUCCUUACAUGGGGCUCCAACGAGCAUUAGGGAGGAGUUUCCAUGCUUAUCAAUGCCUUAGUAAAAAUACAUGCACGUCAACGUAAGUUUUUAUCUCUAUCACACUUAAGCUUCCACGAUUAUAUUAUGUUACCUUAAUUGUAUGCUUUACCAUCCUAGCUUAGUUAUAGGCUAAUGAAUAGGAUUGGAACCUACGUUCUAUAACUCUCUGCAGUAGAGAUAACAACACUUAGUCAAAAUCAUAGUUACACAUAAGAUAGUUUGUUUAUUGUAUAGGUUUUGACUAGGAGAAAAAUAGAGGCAUUAGUUUAGAGAAGAAAUUAGGUCACCUAAAUUAGCCCCCUUCUUAGGUGUCAUCAUUCCUUUCAGUCUCAAUCAAGGCAUCCAGACAUAGGCGCUUGUUGGUUCUACAUAUGUCGUCGUUUUAAUGACCAUGAGAGGUGCCUUUUUGUAGAGCAUGGAUGGUCUUGAAAAGUUGGAUGCAAGGUACUUACUUUUCAAUGGCUAGUGCAGAGAAAGACGACCACUCGAGUGCUUCAAGCGGUGGGUUUCACGUCCAUAUAAUUUCCCAUCAAUGAUGAACGAAGAGAAGAUCAAAGCUACCAAUGAACACAUUGAGAACCCUCCUCUACGUGAUUAUGGAGAUG